AACACAUACAAAAAAAAAACAUUCCGGAAGUGUUCCAGGCCUCUAGGGGGCACGCUACGUGGAACAGAUUGAUGUCUGACCAGACAUAGAGGGAACGAACAAGAGUGCUGCAAAUUGAAGCCGGAGGAAACGAAGUUGAUCGAAGUGGAAAAAGACGAUAUAUAAAAAGGUGUGGGACAUUCCAAAUGUUCCAAAAGUGAGCACUCCACGAAUGGACAACAGUUUGCAGGACCUCUCAGGCACCCACAACCAGCGUCUGAUCGGGAUGGAGCACCAACCCCAUUCCAGGAAGAGGUCCAGUCUGCCCCGGGUCAGAACCACUUCUAUAUAAACGAGGUUGACAGUUGCAUCGUGACACAGUUGUUUGCUGUGUAUCUUUAUUUUACAUUUGUUUGUUUGUAUAGCCUCCAAUCACAGUGGGUAACAUUGCCAGGAAGCAGAACAAUUAUACUUUUAUACAUUUCCAAAUGACACCCACAACAUCUGACAUCUUAGUGAAGACAAUACAAAAAACACCCACAAAUAUUUUUCAAAGAUCAGAUAUUUUUUGUUGCAUCCAUUUCAAAUGUUUACAAGGAUUGUGCAGGAGUAUGACAAAAGUGCUGUUGUCAGUUUAGAACCCAAUGUAUUGAAAAAACAGGAAUAGGAUCGACAUCAUUUUGUAAAUAUGACUGUCAUGCAUAUAUUAGGUAUUUGAAAGUAAUUAUUCAACUGUCUUCUCACUGCAGCAACUACACAACUGUGUAUGCACUUAUCAUUAUUGAUAGCCAGUCUGAGCCAGAAGACACAAUGGAGCAAAGCACAGAAUACAUGACUGCGGCACACAUUGUUGCAGAACUCUCUGCAAAAAUAACAAAUACAUCUUGCAGCAGGUUCAAUAUUAAUAGAGCCAGUGUGUGCGAUGGAGCAAUCCGCGGCUUCAAAGGUGCCUCAUUCGAUCCCUCUCAUGAGAUGUCAGUUAAGUUCACUGAUGAUGAGGGACACACUGAGGAUGGAGGGGACAAUGGUGGUCCCAAGCGUGAGUUCCUGAC